UACGUAGGGUGCAAGCGUUGUCCGGAAUUAUUGGGCGUAAAGAGCUCGUAGGCGGUUUGUCGCGUCUGCCGUGAAAGUCCGGGGCUCAACCCCGGACUUGCAGUGGGUACGGGCAGACUAGAGUGUGGUAGGGGAGACUGGAAUUCCUGGUGUAGCGGUGAAAUGCGCAGAUAUCAGGAGGAACACCGAUGGCGAAGGCAGGUCUCUGGGCCACUACUGACGCUGAGAAGCGAAAGCAUGGGGAGCGAACAGG
rnacentral:rRNA from 1 species